CACAUUAAAAUUACAUUUUUCAUUUUUCAAACUAACGUUACAGCAUACAAAUGUUUAAGCACAUUUUCAAAUCGUGAUGCAAGUACAUGUUUAAGCACGGCCAAAUGGCUUGAUAACACAACCUAAGUCGCUACAUGUUACAAAAUAAAGCAGCAGGGUACGAAAAGUCUGAACAUAGCCAGUGGUCGUCAAUGCGAGAGAUAUGAAGCGUCGUAAACAAACUCUCAACCUCUGAUAACCGAUAAACAGUGCAGGAGGAGCUUACUAUAGAACCAUUUUUGUUUACACCAGAACCAUAUGCAGAAGAGCAGGCACACCACAAAUGAGCCGAGGAACACGCAUGGCAUAAGACCUCUGAUAACCGAUAAACAGUGCAGGAGGAGCUUACUAUAGAACCAUUUUUGUUUACACCAGAACCAUAUGCAGAAGAGCAGGCACACCACAAAUGAGCCGAGGAACACGCAUGGCAUAAGUCUCACAAUACCUGAAUAAUUCCACACCAGUUUCUCAGGCCAUUCCUUGCAUUAGUUUCCACAAGACAGUAUAAGCUUCUCUCCCGUAUCAUGCGGUGACCUAUAGAUCCAAGAGCUAGCAGUACCACACCGACAAUGCGAAUGUGAAUACAGGUGCGCAAGGAUAAAAGUGCAAAGAAGCAUAUGGAAAGCUACAAGUUUUAAAAGGACCUGUAACAAAGUGGCCCUGGUCAAAUCAUAACUCACAGCAGUUCCAAGUACGAACAGGAAACGUACAUUGCUAAAACUAUGUUACUUGUGGUAUGUACAACCUUACCGAUUAUUCUGAAAGGGUAAAUCACAACCAACUUAUAACCUGCAAGUGUGUCUUUAACUUGAGCCAACUACCCUGUUAACCAACAUUGUCGUUGAUGCAUCAUCACUCCUCCAAAACUCUAAAUUGGCAGCCACGAAUUACCGACCACAUUGCAGGAUAGAAAUCCACUACAGGGCCAUUUUGUUAGCAUCAAGAACCAUGCAUACUAACGAUGCAACACCUGUAGAACCUACAACAACAAAAUGCCAAGCCAAAAUCGACGUCCCUAACAAUCCAAGAUUAGAAUCAAUACCAGCAAAUGCCGGCAGCAGUCAUAGAGAAGCUCAAACCAGAACCAUGAAAAGCGUUAGAAUACAGGGAGACCAAACAUCACGAUACUUCAAACCAAAUGCAAACAUAACUUAUUGCAGAAUAUACGCAGGCAUGGACUUGGAAAGCCGAACAUAUACAUGACCUUUAGAAUCACCAGUUGCAGAGGACCUACCAAAUUGUAGCACGACACGUGAAACUUAGAUUCUAUGCAGGACAAAAAUAUAAGCCAUUUCAGGAUGCUGCCGUGAUUCGCGUUAUCUUAAUCAACUGUGAACCUGCAGAGCAACAAUUGACAACAUUAAAGAACUAUGGCAGAUGCCAAACCAGCAAAAGCAACUCUGUUACCACAAGGAACAUCUUCAACAGUCCGGCCUGCAUUAUUGUCUAAGUCAAAAGUCCACAAGCUAAACAAACAUGCCCUAUAGUUUGUUUUGAGGAAUCAGACCCUGCAAAAUGAUCAAAGUUAGAAAUCAAAGCAGUCAUAAAAUCCAAUGGCUAGAAGAAAUUGUAAAGCACAAUGUAGUUUGGAAACUAAAACAAGACAGAAGUUUAAGCCAUUGCAGGAGGCAACAUCAAGAUAAGUAAAAGAAUAAGUUACUACGCUUACCGUCAUGUGAACCGGCGACAGGACAAUACAUAUCACCUCAUUGAAACGAAAGCCAAGACUCGGAACUCCUGUAUCAAAGUUUCAUGUACCUGCACCUGUAUUCACAAGAUUUCAAAGUACAUCAGUGGAAAGCAAUCAUGAUCAAGUCCAUUAGACAAAGCAAAGCUAGUGAGGUCGAAUCAAAUUCAUAGCAGUUAAAAUAGCUGUGGAGUCAAAUAUCAUCAUCAUAUCAGAUAAAUGACCUGCAGAAACACUAAAUAUGCAAGGUUUGAAUUCGCAUCUAAAAGAGUUCAGGCUUAAAAUAGGUACACACAUGUUACAACAUCAUGAUACAUAACUAGACCCUUGUCCACAACCAUUCAUGCCGCCAUAUUUCAGGUUAUCUCGAUAACCAUGAACCUGCACCAACUACAACACAACAAGUUAUUACAUUCACACCUGCAUAAAACCAAUACCAAUCACACCAAAAAGGAUAACAAUAGAAAGAACAAGUUGCAGUGCAAAGGUUCGUCUUAGAUACCACCAUGGAAGUUCUUAUGUGCAACAACUGCAAUGUAAUUCAUGAAAGUUCACCAGCCGAGUGUCCCAAGCUAGAAGGCUUAAGCUGCCUUUGAUAAACAACCACACACAUUAGAACCAUAUCACAUGCAUACAAAAAUAAAUUUUCAAUGUGAUGUCAUACCAGAUUAAAGGGACCACUUGAGUUUUAAAUGGAUCAAAACGCAUCGCUACAGACAAAAAAACACUCACUCACAACAGACAGAAAGAAUUUCUUGCUUAACAAAAUCUGGAGCAAAUAAUUGGUCCCCACAAAUUGAAUAGAAGAUCUUUACCUAACAGCUAAUGGAUAAUAAUAUUUGGAAGAGGGACCACUUACCUUCGCCUAUAAAAAGAGGCGUUCAAUCAUUGAAAAAAGGGAGAAAUUUGGCACCGUCACUCUGCAGAAAUAUAUCCAGAAACCUUCAUUAAAACUAAAAAAACGAGCUUGUUCAAGGUUCUCAAUCGAAAUCUUGAAGAAACUUGAGCUCAGGAUACGAUCUCAUUGCCCACUCAAGAAACUAAAGGAUACAAAGAGUAACAGUAGGAGGAAAAAUAAGAUAACUCACCUCACCACAGAGUCGCUCACGGGGAUAGGACCUUUGCCGGAAUCCAGAAGAUCCGCUGAACUCGGAGCUAUUUUUUUUUCAGAACUUCAGUUUGGGUAAGCGAUUCAGUCUUAUCUCCUUCUAUGAGCUCCCUUUUUGUAGAUCUGGAUUCAUUACUCCUCAUUGUUGUGUUGAACCGAAUCCAUGUUGUUUUAUAGCUCCUAUAUUCUAUGACCUUUUAUUUAAGUUUAUGGUGCGUGUGUUUCUCUUUUGAUUGAGCUUGGUUUUCGAAUUUAUUUCCUUCUCAUUUUUUGUAUGCCUCUUUCUCACGAGGAAGAAGAAGAGAUAAAAAAUAUGAUAUAACAAAGAAAGGAAGUAGUUUAUUUCAUUGGGAGAGGGAGAGGCGAAGGCGAACAUAAGUGCCUUUAUCACGUUCUAGAUCCUUGCUUCAUUCCUUGUUAAGAGUAAGUUCGUUGGCCAUUAAUGAUAAUACUUUUUCUCACUGCCCAAGGCCAGUCACCGCUUUGGUUUUCCCCCUAGUUAUUACUUACCGUUGGAGUUUGGGAGCCAUUGUCUCCUUCACAUUUACUGGUAAAAUGAGAAGGGUUUUAUUGGACUCGGUUCGGGUUCGGAUUACCCGAGGUAGGCGGAGCCCUUUUGGGCCUUCUGGGCUUCGGUUCUCUUUUUCUUUUCUUUGCAGUUUGUGCGCCCUAGUGGGCUACAGAUGCCAUCAAGGCCCAUCUUCUUUUUGGUAAUUCCUUUAUGUUUUUAGCAUGUGAGUAGUUGUUGAUUUUAUUUGACUUAAAUAUGGAUUUGUAUUAUCAUGAUUAUUUAAUAUUUCUUAUAUAAUUUACUAACUAUUUAAUCAAUUGAUAUAUUUUAUCCUCAUUAUUCAUUACUUAGCCUAAUUUAGAUAAUUAUUCACUUUUGAGAUUUAUAUUAAUUAUUAUUUUGUGUUUGCUUACUCAUAUUGUACAAAUUAUUGAUUUCAUUUGCAUGGUAUGCUACAAUUGUGACAAGAUUAUUUCAAGUUCACCGAUUUAAAGUCAUUCAAACCAAUUUCGAAAAUAAAUCACACAUUCCUCGAUUCAAAUUCGAGCCCAUUUUUAAACACCCUUGUAAGUCGAUCGCUUUUAUGCAUCGCCAUCAACCUCACAUAGCUUACUCUUGGGCUUUCUUACAAUGAGUCCUAUUCGGUUAUUAAUUAAUCGAGUAGAUGAUCGAUUCACCAUAAUUUAUUCAACAAACACAAACUCAAACUGAAUUCAAACCAAUUAACUUCAAAAGAAUUUUCUCUUAAAAUAAAUUUUGGGAUGAAAAAGAUAUAAGGAGUGUUCGCUUCACUAUUUCUCAAUUACUCGAAUAAUUGGCGUACGCCAUAUUGCGCGAGUUCUUGUCACCCGAUUAAAACCUUAACCAAAUACCAAUUUCAAACCACUUUUUCAAAUUAAAUGUAACUUCUAAAUUCAAAUAAUUUUAAGACUUCAAAUCAUAAUAUUUCAAAUCAUUUCUACAAAUUCCAAAUCCUUCUAAUUCCAUAUUUCAGAUGAUAAGAGGAUAGGAGGCGUUCGCCUCACUAUCUUUCGAUAAUUCGAAUAAUUGGCGUACGCCAUAUUGCUCAAAUCUUCGUCAUCAAAUCAAAACCGCAAUCAUAUAAACUCAAAUCACAUUUUAUAUCAAAUACAAUUUCAAAAAAUAAACUUUAACUCAAACUUCAAUUAGAGAAUGGGAGGCGUUCGCCUCACCACUCCUUGAUUAUUUGAAUAAUUGGCGUACGCCACAUUGCUCAAAUCAUCUACCUUUCAAAACCUACCAACUCAAAUUCAAACUAUUUUCGCAAAUCAAAGACGACAUCUAAGACAUUUCUUCUAUAAAUUAAACUUCGGAUGAUAGAAGAUGGGAGGCGUUCGCCUCACCAUCUCUCGAUUAUUUGAAUAAUUGGCGUUCGCCAUAUUGCACAAAUCAUCGACUUCCGAUUAAUACAUUUUAAUUAAACUUGGAUAAGGGAAUAGGGGGCGCUCGCCUCAUUAUUCUUUGAACAAGCAAGUAGGAGGCGUACGCCUCGCUACCGUGCAUAUUCAACAUCCACAAACAAACUUUAAAAAUAAUUCGAAUGAAAAGGGAGUAGAAGGCAUUCGCCUUAUUAUUCCUCGAAAGAAUUAGACGAUUGGUGUGCACCACAUUGCUCAAUCUUUCAUCGUUCUUCAAAAACAUCUCAAACAAAUCAAACUAACCUCUCGCCCCCGAGCAAUCGAAACCAAUCACACCCAAACACGUCAAUUCAACUUGUCACCCCCACGUGACCAAAACCCUUCUCUCAAAAAGAACACUGUCAAUCCUUUCUAAUGCAUACAACAAACCAGUGCUAGAGCCUCCACCGAGAGUAGACAAGCCAGCGUUUAGCCUUUAGAACGCCGACCUACACAGUCGUUCAUCAAAACAAAACACACCAAAUAUUCGUAGUAUCCCGAACUACGAAUGCUCUGAUUUCCUUAUUGCACUAUAAGGAUACGUAGGCAGGAGAUUGCUGUAUCUUUGCGAGCACACUAAUAAAAAAAACCUCCCAUUUCCCUUCCUGAGUUCUUCAUCCAUAUCUAUCAUCAAUUCUAAUUACUCGAAGCAAGCGAAUAACAUUCCCUUAACAGUCAAAUAGCAAAAUCAGACUAAAAGGUUCCCGUUGAAUACAACGGACGUAAGGGAUGCUAAUACCUUCCCCUUGCGUAAUCGACUCCCGAACCCGAAUAUGGUUGCGACGACCAUUAUUAUUAUUUCUAAAGGUUUUCUCGAUAUUUUCCUAUUCCUUCAUUGGAAUGAAUAAAGUUCGGUGGCGACUCUGUUCGAACAUAUUUUUCCGUGUUCCAUCGUGAGGGAUCGCAUUAUCAUUUUUUCGAGGUGUGACAGACUGGCGACUCUGCUGGCGACCCUGCUCCAAGCAAGAGAGAGUUUAGCCUAACUUAGUUUGAUUUUGCUAUGACUAUUAGAAGAUGUUCUUUUCAUCCAUCUUUAUUUCUCUGUAUUUUAUUAUGUUGCUUGUAUGUAAUGUGUUCUGAUACUUUGAUAUGGGACUUGAUGUAUGUUGUGAGAUAAGCUCCAUACCCGACCUUCGAGAAAAACUUAGAACUCGGAGUUAUGUAGUAUUGAACCGAGGGGUGUACACCUCAUUGGGACAAUACGAAGACUCCACCUAGAGUAGAUCUGUUUGGAGUUUCCAUCAUAAUAUGGCUAGCCCAUUAUUGUGGGGAGGUUCUAAAUACGAUCCAUGACUCUAGGGACCUCACCUUAAACCCAAGUAUUGUUUUCAUGAUCGGUGAUGAUGUAGUAUUGAACCGAAGGGUCUACACCCUGUUCGAACAAUACGAGAAUCCCACUUAGAUUAGAUCAGUUCAUAACUCCCAUCACGAUGUGCCUAGCCCACCAUUGCGAGGAAGUUUUGAACCUGAUCCGUGAGUCUAAGUUCCUUCCUUGAAAACAUAACUUUAAAGACUACCUUUGGGAAUUCCUAGUAAUCAAAGAAACCUGAGCUUCUUCCUAUUAUCCUAAUGUACCUGACGUGUGAAUAAUCUUAAGUAUUUGUAUUCCUUUGUGAAGAAAUGACAAAAUUUCAUGCAUUUGCAUAUCAUCAACAUGCAUUGCAUAUCAUCUUCCAGAAACAAAAAAAAAACUUACACCAUAUUAUACCAUUCUCCAGUAACGCUGACUACUCGACACCGGUACGAGACACGCCGCAACUACAAGAUGACACUCGAACAGCUGGAAGCAAACCAGGUUUCAAUGAGAACAGACAUUGACUCCAUGCAGGCAAAGAUGGAUCGCUUGCUGGAAACCAUGUUACUCUUAGCCUAGAAGGAGAAAGACGCUGAGACUAACGCCGAAGCCAAAAGAGUUGCUGCUCAGUUUGGAUCACCAUCGCUUAGCAUCCCAGGAGUAAUUGACCUUAAUGGUAAUCUUGUCCAUCCUAAAGAAGGACCCAUUCCUAUUCCUAUUCCCAUGGUCAACAUGAACCCCAUGAGCAUUUUGCUGCAUCUGCUCGACACGGAUCCAUGAUGGGUGAUGAAGAUCCUUAUGACGCUUUCUUCAUGCCACAACCCGCCAAACCUAUUGUUGGAGGUCUCCUAGACCCAGCUGUUGAGAGACUUCAUGCUCUGGAAGAGAAGUUUAAGUCCUUGGAGGUUCACACUACUCCCGGUUUGGACGCUAUUGAUAUGUGCCUGGUACCAGGUCUCGUGAUUCCAUAAAAGUUCAAAGUCCCGGACUUUGACAAGUACAAAGGGAUCAGUUGCCCGAGAACUCACCUCAGAGCUUAUUGCCGCAAGAUGGCUGCCCAUAUCAGUAAUGAUCAACUCUUGAUUCAUUACUUCCAAGAUAGCCUCAGUGGGGCAUCCUUGGAGUGGUACAUGCAAUUAGAGAGAGGACAAGUCCAAUCUUUGAGAGACCUUGCUGAAGCCUUCCUUAAGAAUUAUCAGUACAACAUUGAUCUAGCGCCCAAUCGCACACAGCUGCAAGAUAUGACUCAACGUAACAAUGAGUCAUUCAAGGAAUACGCACAAUGUUGGAGAGAGCUUGCAGCUCGCGUCCAACCUCCUCUCCUUGACAAAGAACUAAUUGAUAUGUUUAUGGGAACUCUACAUACCCAGUACAUGGAGAAAAUGGUAGGAUCCAGCUUUCCAACUUUUACUGAGGUUGUCUCUGUGGGAGAAUGAAUCGAGAGCCAGAUCAAGAAGGGAAAGCUACCUUGUGCUGCCAAUGCUUCAAAUGGGAUAAAGAAACCUUAUCCCAAUCCCCCAAAGAAGCCAGAAGGUCAAACCAACGCCAUAAUGAGAGGAGGAGGAUAUAGGGCACCUCUGUAUACUCCUACACCCUAUCAUCAGGUUGCCGCUCUCAUCCCAACACCAUAUCAGCCACCCUACCAGCAACCAUAUCAACAACAAUGUCAACAGCCAUAUCAACAGUCGACUUACCAACAACAACAUCAGAAUCAGCAAUAACGUGCUCCACAACCACGUCAACCAAAUCAGCAGAGGGCAAGGAGGCCAGAAAGACAUUUUGAUCCUUUGCCAGUACCAUACAGCAAGAUCCUUCCCUGCCUUCUAAAGGAUGGAUCAAUUGUUUUAAAGGAGCUAACGCCUGCAACUCCGCCUUAUCCACCAGGCUACGACGCCAAUGCUCACUGCGAGUAUCAUAUGGGUUCCCCAAGGCAUACAAUAGAGAACUGUAAGGCUUUCAAGCACAAGGUUCAAGAUUUCAUUGAUAGUAAGGCAGUUACUUUCACGCCAAUUAGGCCAAACGUUGCAACAAAUCCCAUGCCGGCGCAUGCAGAGUCGAGUGAAGCUCGAAGAUAAAGCCUCUCACCAGCCUGAACAAGUAAAGCAAUUUCGCCAGUAAAUCAAGAGAUGAAGUCCGUUGCUUUGAAUAAAGGCGAUCAUUAUGCCAUUUUUACCGUUUUGCAUUCUUGUAAUUUGUUCUUGUUAGUCCAAAGUAUUGUAUGCUUUAAACAUUGUUAUUUGUAUUUGGUCUUAUUAAUGGGAUGAUUAUGUAUGCUUUGAAUCAAUCUUUCAUAUUCACUCAUCUAUCACAUUUGCAAAAGCACAAAACACAUACUUUUCCACUUCACCUCCUUUAUUGCACUAUUGUUAGUAAAUGUUGGAAGGAGGAUGACGAAAACAAAAUACUCAUAAUUGUUGAUUGUAUACUUUCGGAUAAAAUCAUGCUGAUGAUGUACAUGCAUUGUUUCAAAUCCCCAAACACCGGAGAGAUAAGGAGUUAAUCCCUAGUCAACCACUUCCAGCCUAGAAGUAGGAGUUUCUUUCAGAUCUACAAACCCUUACGCUUAACCUGGGGCAGGGUAGUGUUCAGUUGAUUUGACUACACUUUCGAAUUACAAGAUGAAAUAUUCCAUACAAGGAUCAAUCACGUGAUAUUCUUCGCACACGUCUUGAAGUACCGAAGAAACCAUACAAAUCCAAAUUUUAUGUCGGUUGUUUUUCAAUGACCAAUGACUUGGCAGUCAUAAUUUUCCAAAAAAAUCAAAAAAAUCCCGCUAAGUCAGACAACCAAAAAGGAGACUUAGGCAAAAAACAGGAGCAAUCCCGAUGGAUUAACGCCUCAACAAGCGGUCCAUGCAAAAGUUAGGGAUCAAAACAAAAAAUCAAGAGAGACAACGAAAGUUCUCAAUAAAGCAAAACAAGAUUCAGUGACCACCAUACCAAAAUCAAAGGGUCACUGACAUCCAAAAGACGAAAUAAGGUGGUUGCCAUUUCAAGAGACCUUGAAUCACCAUCUUUAUCCUUACACCUGCAAAAGACGAAUGUGUGUGAGUUAACUGAAGGUAGGAUUGGAGAUCAUCAUGAAGAAGGGGUGGGUUAAAAUAAUCUUUGAGCCGUAUAUCCUUUUGUUUCAAUAACCAUGAACCAAGCCACGUUACAACCUUCAAAAGACCUAAUUUAAGUAAGGUUUGUUCUGAAAGCAUACUAUAGCAAGGUUGACUAGACUGACUCCUUGAGUUUUACUAAUAUUCGCUUCUCACUAUAUCACUCACACGCUAGCUAAAUCAAGCACCACGAUUGGACACAUGAUCCACUCGUCACACACUACCACGACACUCCCAAGUGAAUGAUUGUUUUUCAAAACUUGCAUAACUAUUGCAUUAAAAUCACCAUUUCUUGGAUAACAAUUCUUAAUUGUCAGUCAGUACUUGACAUCGAGAAAAUUCCAACAAGGGGCAAUUCAAGAGGAAUUUGAUCGUUGGUGCCAACACGAAUCAAAAUCAUCUCAUAGUCUUAUGAAUCAGGGGCAUGGCAUCUUUUGAUCAAGUUGACAUAAGAAGCAGUCAGCAUAAGACAAAUCUCCAAGCAUCGGUUGAUCAGGGAGGAACAAACACUUCAAUCCUCAGGCAGUCUGGGGCAAGUCCCUCAAAAGCUAAUCAAGGGGCAGACCAUUACAAGAGUCAGACAUUGAAGGAAAGGAACUCAGACCAUGUCAUGGGAUAAUCACUCCUAAGGUUCCCGUUCAAGGAGAAUUCCUCUGAACACCCUACAGUCUGGGGCAGGACAAGUUGCAAGGGGCAAGAAUUCCCUUCAUAUCUUCAAGUCAAUCAAGCAAAUUGCAUCAGACACUAGUGACUGCUUGAAUUCACAACAAAAAUGUCAAAAGUCCAUACCAGUACAACAAGAAUCCUUAGGGCACGUCAAAAGCAUAACCAUCAUGCGUUGAUUACGUCGCUAUGCUCAGUUACAGGGUUGCCAAACACUUCAGAAGAAGAAUCGAGAUCGUCUUAAAGACAAAUAAACAUCAUAUUAGCGAGAGAUCAAACUUGGGGCACCAAGAGUAUCCGCAUCUAUUGCGUGUUCAUCACAUCAUCAACUACCGAGUGUCGGGAAGUCAGAUCCUUUCCACCAACCGAUGGUCCAACCCACAUUGACAAUUACCAGAAAAACCAAAGCCCACCUCGAUGGCAUCCAAACAAAAACGAAUACAACCAACACUGGUUUCCAGAAAACACAUUGCCUUUGAAAAAGGGGGGCCAAUCCCAAACAAACCAAUCAUUCUUUGCAUUCAAACAUGCAUCAUAUGCAUCACCUCAUUACAUAACGCAUACAUGACAUUUAUGCAUAUAGCACGAGUCAAAAUCCAAGGUUCAGUACUGGGCAUCCAGGCCAACCCUCAGUCGAGUCAUUGUCACUUUUCCUAAGUGAGUUCCUACCCUACUAUUGGGCGUUCCCCAUUGAGUUAUAUCCUUCAACCUUUUGUUUAUAAGAUGUUUUCCUCAUCAAAGUCAAACAUUGUCUCUUUAAAACACUUACCUUGUUUCGCGUUGAGCGUCCCUCAAUGAGUCGUUUCCUGUAACCUUUUGUUAAUGAAAAUUACAUCUGAAAGAGAAUAUUUUUAUGCAACCUUUUGUUGUUGAUACCCCCAAGAAAGUUUUACCCAAUAGUGUUCCAAUACUACCCAACAAAUCAGGUUAAUUGAACUUUGAUAGUAGCCUUAUGUUUCCAAUAUUUUUCUCACUACCACCCUUUUGGUGAAUGUCCCCUGAUAAAUAAUGAUCAUCAUCCUAUUUAUGGUGUCUGUUAUCCUUUUGGUAAUGGUAAAUCAUUAACAUUUGUGAUCUUACUAUCAUCCUUUUGGUGUCGAAGAUCCUUGAAGUUUUUAAGCUAACCUUCAUCCUUUUGGCGAAGGUGUUGGUGUAAGCCCUAGAGGCCAAUACUUUUGGUACUUGUAUCGAAUUAUUUAUUAAUAAUAAAAGGUUUUUUCUUUAUUACGGUUGUUUAAUAAAGUCUCUAGAAUAGUUAGUCUGUUUAAUGCAUCAAGUGUGACUUGAUCAUGAGACCACAUUAAACAUAAGGACACUACUCUCAAAGUAUCUGUAGUCGAGCUUUAUUGUGAAGUGGGAUAACAUCAAAGCAUUGAGACUAUUAUGUUUGUAGACUGAUGAUCACAUCUCAUGGUUCAUGGAUAAAGGGUUAUUAGGUCUUAAACAUAGGUAUGAAUAUUAAGAGUAAUAUUUAUACCGGAUUGACCCGCUAUGAGAAUACUAUAUAGAAAGUUAUGCAAAGUGUCAUAAGUUAUUCUCAUGGUGAUAAUGGUGUAUUACCACUCUUCGAACCUCCUGAAAACCACUAUGGACCCUAGAUGUAGAGUCGAGUGCUUUUGUUGAUCCAACGUUUCCGUAACUGGAUAACCAUAAAGACAGUUGAUGAGUACUCCACAAAGCAUGCUGAGGGACAUGAGUGACCUAGAUGGAAUUUGCCCAUCCUGCGUAACAGGAUAAAUGUCUAUGGGCCCAAUAUUGAAUUGGACAAGGAUGACACGGUCUAUACCUUGUGUUCAAUAUAGACAUAAGGGCAAAGGGGUAAUUAUACACAUAAUAAUUAUCACAAGAGGUUUUGUCAGAUCACAUGACAUUUUUGUGUCUUGGGUAGCAGUGAUGUGUUGCUAGAUACUGCUUACUGUUUAUUAUGUUAAAUGCGUGAUUUAAUCUAAUUGUCAAUGCCGCGAAAACCUAUAGGUCACACACAAAGGACGGAUUGAUGAGAAAUAGAGUAACUAAGGAACACCGUAAGGUACGGUGCACUUAAGUGGAAGACGAUAAAUAUGCGUAAGGUACCAAAUACUUAAGUGAUUUUGGCAUAUUAUGAGAUAUGGGCCAAAAUACACUUAAGUGGGCUUUUUAGCUUGAAGCCCACACAAGUGGUUCUAUAAAUAGAACCCUUGGGUAGAAGCUUUGCCUCUCAGACUAACACUCAAGUGAAGACUUGGAGUUUCGUUUCCCUCUCUCUCUCUCUCACUCAAAGCCUUCAUUCCUACCAGCUAGCACUGAGAUUGAAGGAAUCCGUUCGUGUGGACUGAGUAGAGACGUUGUCAUUGUUCAACGUUCGUGAUCACCACAAGAGGUAACGAUUCUAUCACUGAUCAUGCCCAUUCGUAAGGAUCACUAAAUGGAGAAAUUUUUAAAUUUCGUUGCGCCUUGGAUGGCAAUUUUCCUACAGAAGGGAGACCUCUACAAUUAUUACAGCUUACCGUCAUCCUUUUGGUGUCGGCGAUCCUUAUGAUGAUAAGGAUCCUUGUCAUUUUGGUUCAAUUAUCAUCCUUUUGGUGAUGACGUCCAAUUCAAUCUAAACAUCAUCCUUUUGGUGAUAUAGAUUACGGAGUUUGGUUUAAGCUAUCAUCCUUUUGGUGAUGGUGACUUUUGGAAAGUCCAAUCUCACUGUCAUCCUUUUGGUGUCAGCAACAUUUAAAGUUAUUAUAACUUAUUAUCAUCCUUUUGGUGGUAACAAGUCUCGAAGUUAGGAUCUCACCCUCAUCCUUUUGUUGAUGGUGAUUGUUGAUUCCUUAUCAUCCUUUUGGUGAUAACGAGUCCUGUUGUGUUAUAGUGCCUUCAUCCUUUUGGUGAUGGUGACUGUCGACUUAUUAUCAUCCUUUUGGUGAUAACAAUUUUUGUUGUUCGAUCUUACCUUCUUCCUUUUGGUGACGGUGAUCAGUAAAAGUUAUUAACUUAUUAUCAUCUUUUUGGUGGUAACAAGUUUUGUUGUUUAAUCCUACCUUCAUCCUUUUGGUGACGGUGACCAUUUGAGUUACGGACUCAUGAUCAUCCUUUUGGUGAUAACGGGUUUUGUUUUGAUCUUGCCCUCAUCCUUUUGGUGAUGGCGAUCAUUGAGUUUGUUUCGGCUAUUAUUAUCCUUUUGGUGAUAACAAGUUUUGAAGUUUUGGCCUUAUUAUCAUCCUUUUGGUGAUAACAAGUUCUGUUUGUUUGAUCUUACUGUCAUCCUUUUGGUGUCAGUGAUAUUUAAGGUUAUUGACUUAUUAUCAUCCUUUUGGUGGUAACAAGUUAUGUUGUUGAUCUUACCUUCAUCCUUUUGGUGAUGGUGAUCGUUUGAGUCUAUUUUGACUUAUUAUCGUCCUUUUGGCGAUAACAAGUUUUGUCUUUUAAUUAUACCUUCAUCCUUUUAUUGGUGAUGGUGAUUGUUUUGACUUAUUAUCAUCCUUUUGGUGGUAACAAGUUUUAUCUUGUAUCUUACCUUCAUCCUUUUGGUGAUGGUGAUCAUUGAGUUUCGACUUAUUAUCAUCCUUUUGGUGGUAACAAGUUUGUUGUGUGACUAUACCUUCAUCCUUUUGGUGGUAACAAGUUUGUUGUGUGACUAUACCUUCAUCCUUUUGGUGAUAGUGAUCAUUGAAGUUAUUUGACUUAUUAUCAUCCUUUUGGUGAUAACAAGUAUUGUUGCUGGAUCUUACCUUCAUCCUUUUGGUGACAGUGAUCUUUGAAGUUGAUGAGUUAACUAUCAUCCUUUUGGUUGUAGCUUUGAUAUUAUACUCUUGGUAAUGGGAAACUUUUCCAGAAUAACCAUCAUCCUUUUGGUGACGGACGUCAUCCAUUAGGUGAUGGAAAUCUUUGAAUUGUGUCUAACUUUCAUCCUUUUGGUGAUAGCGAGAUUUGUUGCUGAUCGUACCAUCAUCCCUUUGGUGAUGGCGAUCUUUGUUGUACCCACUAUAACCAUUAUCCUUUUGGUGAUGACUACUUUUGAAACUCGGUUUGUCGAUUAUCCUUUUGGUAAUGACGAUCUUGGAAAUCAUGGCGAAUUUUUAUCAUCCUUUUGAUGGUAGCAAUUAACUCAACUGUCAUCCUUUUGGCGCAAGAAAGCCUGUUCAGUUUUAGUCCCACAUUUGUCUUUACAUCAAAAAUGACCUUUGCAAGACCUGAAUGUCGACUCGAGGGUUGGCAUUGAUUUGGCAUUCUACCCUUAUCACCUUGGUGCUGUUAGAUUCCAUUGCAUUUUCUUUCUACAUAUCUUCAUUGCAUUCCAAAAGAAAAAAUUUGGGUCUUUUCGUAUUUAAUUACCUUCCACCACGAACGUAUGAAGACUGUCGUCAUUCUUAUUUUCUAGUUCAAGAUGAUUAAAUAGAGGCAACUGUCACACCCCAAUUUUGUCCGGGCAUGUUAAAAAGAUUUUAGCAUUUCACAACCAGAAAGCAUGAUGCAUAAAUUCCCGUAAAUGGAUCCCCGCUCAAUCAAAUGUCCAUAAACCCUAGUCAUGUUCAUUGCCUUCUUAAAUGCCCAUGAAUUCCUUCCUUCAUGACAUUGUGACUUAGUGUUGUAACUUGGGAAAAUGUCACUCAACCUAUUGUACAAGAGUCCUUGUUUGUGGAUUUUCUUGUUAUUAAUUUUAUAAACCUCAUGCUACCACAUGCACACCAUAUGAUUAGGUCCCUUCGAUUGGUUCCGAGUAGAUGUUGAACUAGUCCAUUUGUUUUAAAAGAAGGGGGACACAUGAUCCAUGUUUUGCAUGUUUUCAUUUGAUUUAGGGUAUUCAAGAUUAUUCGAAUCCAUUUCUUGCCAUUGUUAUUGCCAUUGUUAUUACCAUAAGUACUUGGUCCAUAAAAUGUCCAUUUAGAUUAUGGUGGUGUUACCCAAAUCAAGAGAUACCUCCACUCACAAAUAAAUCACAAGAGACUAAGGUCCAUCAAUGCAUUUGAAACCAAGGCUUUUCAUUCAUAAGAAAUUCCACGCAUUGUUCAUUUCGCUCAAGACACAAAUGCUAUGUACAAAUGUCCACUCGCAUGAAAGAUUAAGAAAAGGUUGAAUCACAAAAAGCCCAAAUCCAUAUAAAUCCAAGAACCCCAUAUCCUGCUGUUAUUCUUCCAUAAAACCCUUGGCUUAUUAUGGUUUGUGAUUGAAACUGCAAGUACAACAUAUUGGCAAAACAUGUUCACACAUUAAAAUUACAUUUUUCAUUUUUCAAACUAACAUUACAGCAUACAAAUGUUUAAGCACAUUUUCAAAUCGUUAUGCAAGUACAUGUUUAAGCACGGCCAAAUGGGUUGAUAACACAACCUAAGUCGCUACAUGUUACAAACAAAAGAAGCAGGAUAAGAAAAGUCUGAACAUAGUCAGUGGUCGUCAAUGCGAGAGAUAUGCAGUGUCGUAAACAAACCCUCAACCUCUGAUAACCGAUAAACAGUGCAGGAGGAGCUUACUAUAGAACCAUUUUUGUUUACACCAGAACCAUAUGCAGAAGAGCAGGCACACCACAAAUGAGCCGAGGAACACGCAUGGCAUAAGACCUCUGAUAACCGAUAAACAGUGCAGGAGGAGCUUACUAUAGAACCAUUUUUGUUUACACCAGAACCAUAUGCAGAAGAGCAGGCACACCACAAAUGAGCCGAGGAACACGCAUGGCAUAAGUCUCAUAAUACCUGAAUAAUUCCACAUCAGUUUCUCAGGCCAUUCCUUGCAUUAGUUUCCACAAGACAGUAUAAGCUUCUCUCCCGUAUCAUGCGGUGACCUAUAGAUCCAAGAGCUAGCAGUACCACACCGAUAAUGCGAAUGUGAAUACAGGUGCGCAAGGAUAAAAGUGCAAAGAAGCAUAGGGAAAGCUACAAGUUUUAAAAGGAC
rnacentral:lncRNA from 1 species